CCAAUAGCGUAUAUUAAAGUUGUUGCAGUUAAAAAGCUCGUAGUUGAAUUUCGGGAUUGACGUGAUGGUCAUGCCUUAAGGGGUAUGAACUGUUACUGUUGAUUUCUCACCUUCUGGAGAAACUUGAUGUCCUUUAUUGGGUGUCUUGCGGAUCCAGGACCUUUACCUUGAAAAAAUUAGAGUGUUUAAAGCAGGCAUUUUUGCUCGAAUACAUUAGCAUGGAAUAAUAGAAUAGGACGGCAUGGUUCUAUUUUGUUGGUUUCUAGGAUCACCGUAAUGAUUAAUAGGGAUAGUUGGGGGCAUUAGGAUUCAAUUGUCAGAGGUGAAAUUCUUGGAUUUAUUGAAGACUAACUACUGCGAAAGCAUUUGCCAAGGAUGUUUUCAUUAAUCAAGAACGAAAGUUAGGGGAUCGAAGACGAUCAGAUACCGUCGUAGUCUUAACCAUAAACUAUGCCGACUAGGAAUCAGACGAUGUUAAUUUUUUAAUGACUCGUUUGGCACCUUACG
rnacentral:misc_RNA from 1 species